rnacentral:rRNA from 1 species
GGGGGAUAUUGCACAAUGGGGGAAACCCUGAUGCAGCGACGCCGCGUGGAGGAAGAAGGUUUUCGGAUUGUAAACUCCUGUCGUUAGGGACGAUAAUGACGGUACCUAACAAGAAAGCACCGGCUAACUACGUGCCAGCAGCCGCGGUAAAACGUAGGGUGCAAGCGUUGUCCGGAAUUACUGGGUGUAAAGGGAGCGCAGGCGGGAAGACAAGUUGGAAGUGAAAACCAUGGGCUCAACCCAUGAAUUGCUUUCAAAACUGUUUUUCUUGAGUAGUGCAGAGGUAGGCGGAAUUCCCGGUGUAGCGGUGGAAUGCGUAGAUAUCGGGAGGAACACCAGUGGCGAAGGCGGCCUACUGGGCACCAACUGACGCUGAGGCUCGAAAGUGUGGGUAGCAAACAGGAUUAGAUACCCUGGUAGUCCACACCGUAAACGAUGAUUACUAGGUGUUGGAGGAUUGACCCCUUCAGUGCCGCAGUUAACACAAUAAGUAAUCCACCUGGGGAGUACGACCGCAAGGUUGAAACUCAAAGGAAUUGACGGGGGCCCGCACAAGCAGUGGAGUAUGUGGUUUAAUUCGACGCAACGCGAAGAACCUUACCAAGUCUUGACAUCCCUUGACAGACAUAGAAAUAUGUAAUCUCUUCGGAGCAAGGAGACAGGUGGUGCAUGGUUGUCGUCAGCUCGUGUCGUGAGAUGUUGGGUUAAGUCCCGCAACGAGCGCAACCCUUAUGGUCAGUUACUACGCAAGAGGACUCUGGCCAGACUGCCGUUGACAAAACGGAGGAAGGUGGGGAUGACGUCAAAUCAUCAUGCCCUUUAUGACUUGGGCUACACACGUACUACAAUGGCGUUAAACAAAGAGAAGCAAGACCGCGAGGUGGAGCAAAACUCAGAAACAACGUCCCAGUUCGGACUGCAGGCUGCAACUCGCCUGCACGAAGUCGGAAUUGCUAGUAAUCGCGGAUCAGCAUGCCACGGUGAAUACGUUCCCG